UGAUGCGGUCAUACCAGCACUAAAGCACCGAAUGCCAUCAAAACUCCGAAGUUAAUCGUGCUUGGGCGAGAGUAGGACUACGAUGGGUGACCUCCUGGGAAGUCCACUUGUUUCAUUAC
rnacentral:rRNA from 1 species